UAAUAGCUUAAUGGUUAGAGCGUCCGCCUUGGGUGCUGGACGUUGCGUGUUCGAACCCCGGCCAAGUCUUAUCAAAG